rnacentral:rRNA from 1 species
GUGGGGAAUUUUGGACAAUGGGCGCAAGCCUGAUCCAGCAAUGCCGCGUGCAGGAAGAAGGCCUUCGGGUUGUAAACUGCUUUUGUACGGAACGAAACGGUCCGGGUUAAUACCCUGGGCUAAUGACGGUACCGUAAGAAUAAGCACCGGCUAACUACGUGCCAGCAGCCGCGGUAAUACGUAGGGUGCAAGCGUUAAUUGGAAUUACUGGGCGUAAAGCGUGCGCAGGCGGUUUUGUAAGACAGGCGUGAAAUCCCCGGGCUCAACCUGGGAAUUGCGCUUGUGACUGCAAGGCUGGAGUGCGGCAGAGGGGGAUGGAAUUCCGCGUGUAGCAGGGAAAUGCGUAGAUAUGCGGAGGAACACCGAUGGCGAAGGCAAUCCCCUGGGCCCGCACUGACGCUCAUGCACGAAAGCGUGGGGAGCAAACAGGAUUAGAUACCCGAGUAGUCC